UGCUGAGGUUCGCUUACGUUGGUGAAACGUUUCUUCGUCAUAUAGUCAACGCGGAUUGGUAUGUGCGCUCAGUAGCAGCCCGGACAGCGAUUCAGGGAGGUGUACGACUCUGUUUAAGGAUUUUGGGAAGCAAGCCAGUGUGGGAAAUCUAAUCUCACCGAGAUGAUUGCUUGGCAGAAUGUUUGUUUAUUCGCUUCCUGUGUGCGUGCAGAGCCAAGAUCUGUAGUAGAGAAUCUUUGAGAAACCAAGAGUUAAAGGAGUGGGUAAUGUUACAUUGGUAAGAUACUUGCCAACAGGUAACAUGGGUUUGGUAAGGCUCGUGAAGAAAAAUGUAAAGUUAAAUCUUUUUUGGGAAUUCACGAAAAUUGUGUGUUUGGCAUUUAUUUUUUUCUGGUUUAAUUUUACAGUUUUCUUCACUCUGUUCAAAUAAGGCAUUAUAACAGACAUUAUAAUUUCACUGUAAAGGUUUUGGUGUGCCCAUUAAAAAAAUUCAAGAAAAGCUUCAGUAAGAUUGUAUUUACAGUACGUGAGUGAUCACUUUCAGCAUUGGACAUAAAACUUUGUAGAAAUUGAUGUUUCUCGGGCAUAUGCUAUAUUUCUCCACUGAGAACUCUUUAUCUGUUCUAAUUAAACCUUGUGCUUAUUUGAUCAGAUGAGCCUGGUUGUUCAAAUGAUUUCAUUGGAUAUGGUAACAUCAUUCAGAUCUUGACAUAGCCUGUAAUCUAGUGAAUUGAAUUGACACCUGAUGGUGUUGGACAGUUAUUGAUAUUUUGCUUAUUGUUUGUAUGAAUAAAAUUGUAAUUAUUGAACAUGAAAAAACAAGUUACUCCUUAUUUACAAUGUAUUUUAGAGAUAGUGUGUCUUGAACUAACCAGUGUUGCAGAUGGAGGGAAGUGGCUUUAGAGCUUGUUGAGAGCGGAGGUGGAGACAAUUGAAGUGUUGAUGUGGUUGCGGUCUCAC
rnacentral:misc_RNA from 1 species